GGCUGGUCCAAGUGCAGUGGUGUUUACAACUAAUUGAUCACAACCAGUUACAGAUUUCUUUGUUCCUUCUCCACUCCCACUGCUUCACUUGACUAGCCUUUA
ensembl:Y_RNA Y_RNA Y RNA